UACAGAGGUCUCAAGCGUUGUUCGGAUUCAUUGGGCGUAAAGGGUGUGUAGGUGGCGCGCUAAGUCGGGUGUGAAAUUUUGGAGCUUAACUCCGAAACUGCAUUCGAUACUGCGGUGCUUGAGGACUGGAGAGGAGACUGGAAUUCAUGGUGUAGCAGUGAAAUGCGUAGAGAUCAUGAGGAAGACCAGUGGCGAAGGCGGGUCUCUGGACAGUUCCUGACACUGAGGCACGAAAGCCAGGGGAGCAAACGGG
rnacentral:rRNA from 1 species